rnacentral:misc_RNA from 1 species
UCCGAGUUGACCCCGGCAGUCUCCUAUGAGUCCCCACCAUCACGUGCUGGCAACAUAGAACGAGGGUUGCGCUCGUUGCGGGACUUAACCCAACAUCUCACGACACGAGCUGACGACAACCAUGCACCACCUGUACGCAGCCCUUACGGACCCCACAUCUCUGCAGGUAAACCACGUAUGUCAAGCCUUGGUAAGGUUCUUCGCGUUGCAUCGAAUUAAUCCGCAUGCUCCGCCGCUUGUGCGGGCCCCCGUCAAUUCCUUUGAGUUUUAGCCUUGCGGCCGUACUCCCCAGGCGGGGCGCUUAAUGCGUUAGCUGCGGCACGGAGCUCGUGGAAACAAGCCCCACACCUAGCGCCCAACGUUUACGGCAUGGACUAC